rnacentral:rRNA from 1 species
GACGUAGGGCGCGAGCGUUGUCCGGAUUUAUUGGGCGUAAAGGGCUCGUAGGCGGCCAACUAAGUCAGACGUGAAAUCCCUCGGCUUAACCGGGGAACUGCGUCUGAUACUGGAUGGCUUGAGUUCGGGAGAGGGAUGCGGAAUUCCAGGUGUAGCGGUGAAAUGCGUAGAUAUCUGGAGGAACACCGGUGGCGAAGGCGGCAUCCUGGACCGACACUGACGCUGAUGAGCGAAAGCCAGGGGAGCAAACGGG